GAGCACACCUCAAACCACAGUCUUUGGAAAGGGAAAAGAAGGAGUCUAUGUCUGCUGGACGCUCUAAGGGAACGAGCUGGUCUUUAAUUCUGUCAGAAAGUCCAUUGUAAAAGGCAUCCAGCAGCGAGGGAGUAUUCCAACCACUGUCUGCAGCUAGGGUGCGGAAUUCGAUUGCAUAAUCUGAAACCCGGUUUCUACCUUGGCGAAGGCUGAGGAGGGACCUGGAAGCCUCCAGACCAGGAGUGGAACGGUCAAAAAUCUAUCUGAGAGUGCUGGUGAAGAGGUCCACAGAAAAACAAACAGCAGAAUCUCUAGCCCACUCAACAGUGGCCCAAGCCUCUGCACGGCCGGUGAGCAAGCCGUGGAUAUCUCCUGAGAAGUGUGUCUGACUUUACGGCACACAACAGCCUUCAGUUUGAAAAAGAAGCCCGUCAGCCGUCUUUAGACUGUUUGAUACAACGGCUGAGGCGAGGAGGAAGAGGACGGAUGAAGCUAAGAAGAGGAAACAAGAGAGUGACCGAGCAAGAAGCAGAGUGAACGUCCCUGCAGAUAUCAUUCAUGACAGAUUGUGAUAUAACAUAAGGCUGUAUCGUUUGUGUAAUCGUCGUCUCAUGUUUUGCAGCUUUACCGGGUGCAGAAAGUCGUCUCACCCGAGUUAAGUCUCAGGCUUCUUUUCAAAUGAAUUAAUAAAUCCAUCCUUACGCCA